rnacentral:misc_RNA from 1 species
UAAUACUAGUACAACCAAAACUAGAAGCGAUGAGACAUUUCAAUCCAAAAAAGCAUGUGAAUAAUGUGAGAACUUGCCCAAAUACACAUCAUCAUUUAAUCAAUAUCAAGCUUCAUGGGUUUGAUGAAGUUGAUGCUCCAGACCCUGCAGGUGGGGGUCCAGAGCUUGCAGAUGCUGGAGGUGCAGUCCUUGGUGGAGGGACAGAAUGCUGGUGCUGUUGUGUGGCUUGUGGAGCCUGUGGCGGGGGGACAGCUGAGUGAUAUGAUGAUGAUGGUGGAGGAUACUGCUGAUAAGGUGGCAUCAGCGGCACAUACCCAUAUGAAGGAUAAAGUUGUUGGUGAUAUUGCCCGUGUGGCAGUGGCAUACCCUGAUAAGGAUAGUGCUGC